UGUAUGACAUCACUGCGAAAAUCAACUUUUGAGACCAUUUUUUUUUAUCAGUGUAGUAAAGUGUAAGUGUGCAAGGCAAACAUGAGAUCUUAAGCAACAGCUUUGGUCAGGUUGUUUUGCUCGUUCGUUCUCCCCUGUGGAAUGAAGUAACAGUUGAAGUGCUGGAUCCUGCAGUAACUCAAGCCCCUCAGCUAUCAGCAGCAUCUGCCCUGAGGAUGAACAGAUGUAGGCACCUGUGUUUAGGGCUCACACAUCCCCCAUCCUCCUUUUCUUCUCCCUCUCCUCCCUUUUAACCUCCUCAAUCUCCUCAGAAGGGCCCACAAAGGGGUAAAAGAGGAGGAGGGGGCAGUAACUAUACCCCCUGCUCUAUACUUCCAUCACCCCCUCACACACACACACACACACACACACACACACACACACACACACACACACACACACACACACACACACACACACACACACACACACACACACACAUUCCCUGAGGACACAUGCUCUCUAUGAGCCUUUGUCAUGAGCACUAUCUUCCAGACAGGCUCAAACAAUCUGUUGCAGGAUGAUUGCUCAUUUCCAAACAACGCUGACAACACAGGUGUGUGUGUGUGUGUGUUUUGCAUGGAUUCAAGUUCGUUUAAUAUGGGACGCUAAAGCUCUCGAGUGUCACGUUGGAAGAAACACAUGGUGUGUGAUGGGACACGGGGCGUGAUUGUAGGUUACGAGAGCCACAGGGACAGUAAUCACGCUUCUGUAACAAAAUCAAGUGUUGAAUGUCGGAGUCACACCCUCCAAAAGUGACCUGCCCUCAACAAAGCCACAAAAAAACAGAAUAACUAAGAUCAGCUUUUAAGACAAAGCCGGUGGCAGGUGUCGAGUGUGUCGGUGGUAAGAUGAAGCUCGUGGGAAGAGCUUCAUCACAAAGGAGUUGAUUUCUGCACACACACUGAUCCGGAGUCAGUGAUCGAAGCCUGUCCCUUGACAUCUCAUCCAUCACAGCUCAACAUCAGAUAUGAAUCGAGAUCUGUAGACACGCCGCCAUGAUGCUCAUGUUUAUAUUCACCUUUAAACCAGCAGCUCAAUGAUUGUUGAAACCCUGCCCCUGUGUUUGUUACUAUUGAUUAGUAAUGAUAUAUUGAC